rnacentral:rRNA from 1 species
GAUGAACGCUGGCGGCGUGCCUAAUACAUGCAAGUCGAGCGAACGGACGAGAAGCUUGCUUCUCUGAUGUUAGCGGCGGACGGGUGAGUAACACGUGGAUAACCUACUUAUAAGACUGGGAUAACUUCGGGAAACCGGAGCUAAUACCGGAUAAUAUUUUGAACCGCAUGGUUCAAAAGUGAAAGGCGGUCUUGCUGUCACUUAUAGAUGGAUCCGCGCUGCAUUAGCUAGUUGGUAAGGUAACGGCUUACCAAGGCAACGAUGCAUAGCCGACCUGAGAGGGUGAUCGGCCACACUGGAACUGAGACACGGUCCAGACUCCUACGGGAGGCAGCAGUAGGGAAUCUUCCGCAAUGGGCGAAAGCCUGACGGAGCAACGCCGCGUGAGUGAUGAAGGUCUUCGGAUCGUAAAACUCUGUUAUUAGGGAAGAACAUAUGUGUAAGUAACUGUGCACAUCUUGACGGUACCUAAUCAGAAAGCCACGGCUAACUACGUG